ACUUCCUAUUCGUUGCAACAUUGUUAUAUUGUAGUACAUGCAAAACUCAAUACUAAACAACGCAAUUCCAACAACAUUAUUAUGUUAAACGUCAUGGUUGCAACAUAACAAAUCUUAUA